rnacentral:rRNA from 1 species
CACAAGCGGUGGAGCAUGUGGUUUAAUUCGAAGCAACGCGAAGAACCUUACCAGGUCUUGACAUCCCGAUGCUAUUUCUAGAGAUAGAAAGUUACUUCGGUACAUCGGUGACAGGUGGUGCAUGGUUGUCGUCAGCUCGUGUCGUGAGAUGUUGGGUUAAGUCCCGCAACGAGCGCAACCCUAUUGUUAGUUGCCAUCAUUCAGUUGGGCACUCUAGCGAGACUGCCGGUAAUAAACCGGAGGAAGUGGGGAUGACGUCAAAUCAUCAUGCCCCUUAUGACCUGGGCUACACACGUGCUACAAUGGUUGGUACAACGAGUUGCGAGUCGGUGACGGCGAGCUAAUCUCUUAAAGCCAAUCUCAGUUCGGAUUGUAGGCUGCAACUCGCCUACAUGAAGUCGGAAUCGCUAGUAAUCGCGGAUCAGCACGCCGCGGUGAAUACGUUCCCGGGCCUU